rnacentral:rRNA from 1 species
AUUGAACGCUGGCGGCAGGCCUAACACAUGCAAGUCGAGCGGAGCGGCGGACGGGUGUGUAAUGCCUAGGAAUCUGCAUGGUAGAGGGAGAUAACGUACGGAAAGGGGCGCUAAUAGCGCAUACUAUCAGAUGAGCCUAGGUCGGAUUGGCUAGCUGGUGGGGUAAAGGCCUACCAAGGCGACGAUCCGUAACUGGUCUGAGGGGAUGAUCAGUCACACUGGUACUGAGACACGGUCGAGACUCCUACGGGAGGCAGCAGUGGGGAAUCUUGGGCAAUGGGCGAAUGCCUGAUGCAGCCAUGCGGCGUGUAUGAUGAAGGCCUUCGGGUUGUAAAGUACGUUCAGCGGGGAGGCGUUACCCACGAAAGAAGCACCGGCUAACUCCGUGCCAGCCGCCGCGGUAAUUC